GACAGAGGAUGCAAGCGUUAUCCGGAAUGAUUGGGCGUAAAGCGUCUGUAGGUGGCUUUUUAAGUCCGCCGUCAAAUCCCAGGGCUCAACCCUGGACAGGCGGUGGAAACUACCAAGCUGGAGUACGGUAGGGGCAGAGGGAAUUUCCGGUGUAGAGGUGAAAUUCGUAGAUAUCGGGAGGAACACCUGUGGCGAAGGCGGCCAUCUGGACGUUCACUGACGCUGAGACGCGAAAGCGUGGGUAGCAAGCAGG
rnacentral:rRNA from 1 species